UUACGGCUAUAUCACGUUGAAGCACCGGUUCCCGUAUGAUCACCGAAGUUAAGAGACGUCGAGCCUGGUCAGUACUUAGAUGUGUGACCGCUUGGAAAUACCAGAUACUGUAA